AACGAACGCUGGCGGCAUGCCUAACACAUGCAAGUCGAACGAGACCUUCGGGUAUAGUGGCGCACGGGUGCGUAACGCGUGGGAACCUUCCCUUAGGUUCGGAAUAACUCCCCGAAAGGGGUGCUAAUACCGGAUAAUGUCUUCGGACCAAAGAUUUAUCGCCUUUGGAUGGGCCCGCGUUGGAUUAGCUAGUUGGUAGGGUAAAAGCCUACCAAGGCGACGAUCCAUAGCUGGUCUGGGAGGAUGAUCAGCCACACUGGGGCUGAGACACGGCCCAGACUCCUGCGGGAGGAAGCAAUGGGGAAUAUUGGACAAUGGGCGAAAGCAUGAUGCAGCAAGGCCGCGUGAGUGAUGAAGGCCUUAGGGUUGUAAAGCUGUUUUACCCGGGAUGAUAAUGACAGUACCGGGAGAAUAAGCUCCGGCUAACUCCGUG
rnacentral:rRNA from 1 species